AACGGUAUAGCUCAGCAGUCAGAGCGCCGGGACUCGGUUCCGGAGGUCGGCGGUGCGAAUCCGCCUGCCGUUCCCA
rnacentral:tRNA from 1 species